AAGCUGCAUAUUGAGCUGCUGAGGUCCCACUAUACGGUCUCAAGGCACAUUGUUUCUGUGAUUCUUUGAACAGUGUGUCUGAGAUCGGAGUGGGCUCUUAGGACCCACUUCACAGUCUUGC
rnacentral:precursor_RNA from 12 species